AGUCGAGCGAAAGACGAGGAGCUUGCUCCUCUGACGUUAGCGGCGGACGGGUGAGUAACACGUGGAUAACCUACCUAUAAGACUGGGAUAACUUCGGGAAACCGGAGCUAAUACCGGAUAAUAUAUUGAACCGCAUGGUUCAAUAGUGAAAGACGGUUUUGCUGUCACUUAUAGAUGGAUCCGCGCCGCAUUAGCUAGUUGGUAAGGUAACGGCUUACCAAGGCAACGAUGCGUAGCCGACCUGAGAGGGUGAUCGGCCACACUGGAACUGAGACACGGUCCAGACUCCUACGGGAGGCAGCAGUAGGGAAUCUUCCGCAAUGGGCGAAAGCCUGACGGAGCAACGCCGCGUGAGUGAUGAAGGUCUUCGGAUCGUAAAACUCUGUUAUUAGGGAAGAACAAAUGUGUAAGUAACUAUGCACGUCUUGACGGUACCUAAUCAGAAAGCCACGGCUAACUACGUGCCAGCAGCCGCGGUAAUACGUAGGUGGCAAGCGUUAUCCGGAAUUAUUGGGCGUAAAGCGCGCGUAGGCGGUUUUUUAAGUCUGAUGUGAAAGCCCACGGCUCAACCGUGGAGGGUCAUUGGAAACUGGAAAACUUGAGUGCAGAAGAGGAAAGUGGAAUUCCAUGUGUAGCGGUGAAAUGCGCAGAGAUAUGGAGGAACACCAGUGGCGAAGGCNACUUUUUUGGUUUUUAAUUGUUUUUUUAUUUUCUU
rnacentral:rRNA from 1 species